rnacentral:misc_RNA from 1 species
UCCGAGUUGUCCCCGGCAGUCCCUCUAGAGUCCCCGGCAUUACCCGCUGGCAACUAAAGGUAGGGGUUGCGCUCGUUGCGGCACUUAAGCCAACACCUCACGGCACGAGCUGACGACAGCCAUGCAGCACCUGUGCUAGCCCCAAAAGGACACGGGCUUUCACCCGCUUUAACUAGCAUGUCAAGCCUAGGUAAGGUGGGGAUGACGUAUCUGUACCAUAGA